ensembl:snRNA U5 U5 spliceosomal RNA
UUUAUCAGGCUUCUCUUCAUCACGUACAAAUCUUUCGCCUUUUUACUAAACAUUUCCGUGGAGACGGGUAUCAAAAAGCUUACAAUAUUUUUGGGGGCUCUGUUUCUUUUUGGGGG